rnacentral:rRNA from 1 species
UUUGUGCGGGGGCUGCGGAGCCAUGCUAUCGGAGUCCGAUUUAGCCAUGCUAGUCGCACGAGUUCAUACUCCGUGGCAUAUAGCUUCAGUAACACGUGGCCAAACUACCCUAUGGACAACAAUAACCUCGGGAAACUGAGGCUAAUAGUUGAUACUGCUCUCACGCUGGAACAGCAGGGAGCGGGAAACGCCCCGGCGCCAUAGGAUGUGGCUGCGGCCGAUUAGGUAGACGGUGGGGUAACGGCCCACCGUGCCUAUAAUCGGUACGGGUCAUGAGAGUGAGAGCCCGGAGACGGUAUCUGAGACAAGAUACCGGGCCCUACGGGGCGCAGCAGGCGCGAAACCUUUACACUGCACGCCAGUGCGAUAGGGGGACUCCGAGUGCGAGGGCAUACAGUCCUCGCUUUUCUGUACCGUAAGGUGGUACAGGAAUAAGUGCUGGGCAAGACCGGUGCCAGCCGCCGCGGUAAUACCGGCAGCACGAGUGAUGGCCGAUAUUAUUGGGCCUAAAGCGUCCGUAGCCGGCCAGACAAGUCCGUUGGGAAAUCGACGUGCCUAACACGUCGGCGUCCAGCGGAAACUGUCUGGCUUGGGGCCGGAAGACUCGAGGGGUACGUCCGGGGGUAGGGAGUGAAAUCCCGUAAUCCUGGACGGACCGCCGAUGGCGAAAGCACCUCGAGAGGACGGACCCGACGGGUGAGGGGACGAAAGCUAGGGGUCUCGAACCGGAUUAGAUACCCGGGGUAGUCCCUAGCCGUAAACGAUGCUCGUUUAGGGUGUGGCACCCACUACCGAGUGGGGUGCUGUGCCCGUAGGGAAAGCCGCCUAAACGAGCCGCCCUGGGGAAGUACGUCCGCCAGGGAUGAAACUUUAAAGAAAUUGGCGGGGGGAGCACCUACAACCCGGAGGAACCUGCGGUUUAAUUAUUAUUUUC